AUUUGCAAAAAAAAGAAUAUUAAGAGAAAAUAUUAAAUAUUAGUUAAGAAGCAUGUAUUCAAAAAAUAAUUAUUACACUACAUUAUUAUUAAAGCUGCCAUAAGGAUAAUUUAGUUUUGCAUUGAAUUGCUUGACUGCAUUCAAAGAAUGAAUACGAAAAUUCUCCCUUUUCAGUAUUCAAACUUAUACAAUGUUUUGUUUCUGACAAAAGUGUUCACAAAUCGAUAUCAAAUGGUUACAAAGGUAGAAAACUGAAUCUAUGCCAAUAACGAUAUAGAAUCAUGAAUGGUGCUGUUGUAAAUGAUAUCGAAACGCAACCCUCUGUUUCCGUUUUGUCCAAUAAUAGAUUUCCCCCAUUCUGCGGUUUCCCUUUAUUCGCAUGAAGAUUAAAUUACAUGGCUGUUCGACAUGGUUAUGAAAUUGAAUGUAACGAAU